rnacentral:tRNA from 1 species
GAGGUUGUGGCUCAGUGGCAGAGUGCUUGCCUAGCACGUGUGAGGCACUGGGUUUGAUUCUCAGCACCACA